rnacentral:rRNA from 1 species
UCAAAAACAUUGCCAUUUGAAUAACUUAUAAAUGGUAAAUCCUGCCCCAUGGAAUCCUAAAUGGCCGCGGUACCCUGACCGUGCAAAGGUAGCAUAAUCAUUUGCCUAUUAAUUGUAGGCUAGAAUGAAUGGACACACGAAGUCAUCUCUUUCUCCCCUAACAAAUUAAAACUUAAUCUUCAGGUGAAGAAGCCUGAAUUACCUCGCAGGACAAGAAGACCCUAUAGAGCUUUACCUUAUCUUUAUUAACAAAAUAAAUCACGGUUCGGUUGGGGCGACCAGAGAGAAAACUCAUCCUCUCUAAACCCAAAGAUUUCAUAUCAUAAAAUAGAUCCUUAAACAAGAUCACAGAAUCUAGCUACCUUAGGGAUAACAGGCUAAUUUUCCUAGAGAGCUCCUAUUAACAGGAAAGAUUGGCACCUCGAUGUUGGCUUAGGACCUCUUUAUAGUGCAGCCGCCAUAAAUAGAUGGUUUGUUCAACCAUUAAAAUCCUACGUGAUCUGAGUUCA